rnacentral:rRNA from 1 species
UACGUAGGGCGCAAGCGUUGUCCGGAAUUAUUGGGCGUAAAGAGCUCGUAGGCGGCUUGUCACGUCGGAUGUGAAAGCCCGGGGCUUAACUCCGGGUCUGCAUUCGAUACGGGCUAGCUAGAGUGUGGUAGGGGAGAUCGGAAUUCCUGGUGUAGCGGUGAAAUGCGCAGAUAUCAGGAGGGACACCGGUGACGAAGGCGGAUCUCUGGGCCAUUACUGACGCUGAGGAGCGAAAGCGUGGGGAGCGAACAGG